UAACCUGAAACUUUGAGUGUCUAGUAAAGAACGUGGUGUUUUAAUUCUUCAAGUCAGUUCUUUCUCUGUCUUCUAGAUGGAAAACGAGGAAAAAGAAGAGAGUGCCAGGGAGACACAUGAGUGAGGAGCCAGCCCAGAAACGCCUGUGCCUGAAGAACGCUUUCUGGCGAGCUGUUUGGUUUGUGGAACCUGCAUCACCUGCUUCAGCCACAUCUCCCGUGUUACUUUAUCAACCUCAUCCAGCUCUCUGUGCUAAGGUGUCUGUUGUGGGGGACUACAACCGACUCAUCCUGCCAUCUGUCCAGGGGGACCCCAUACAACUUAUUCAGAUGUAUGUCCUGUGGAACCCCAUCCAGCUCAUCCAGCCAUCUGUUCUGAGAAUCGCUGCCCUGUAUAAUGUUCCUGCCAACUUGCAUGCGGAAGUCUCCACGGAGGGUCCCAGGCUUGGAGUCUGCAGGGCCGGCAAGAAUGGAUGGUCCUUCAGGUCGAUGUAG
rnacentral:lncRNA from 1 species